UACCAGACUCCUACGGGAGGCAGCAGUGAGGAAUAUUGGUCAAUGGCCGAGAGGCUGAACCAGCCAAGUCGCGUGAGGGAAGAAUGUCCUAAGGAUUGUAAACCUCUUUUGUCGGGGAGCAAAAAGGCUCUGCGGAGUCGUAUUGAGAGUACCCGAAGAAAAAGCAUCGGCUAACUCCGUGCCAGCAGCCGCGGUAAUACGGAGGAUGCGAGCGUUAUCCGGAUUUAUUGGGUUUAAAGGGUGCGCAGGCGGCUGAGUAAGACAGAUGUGAAAUCCCCGGGCUUAACCUGGGAACCGCAUAUGUGACUGCUUGGCUAGAGUGCGGCAGAGGGAGGUGGAAUUCCACGUGUAGCAGUGAAAUGCGUAGAUAUGUGGAAGAACACCGAUGGCGAAGGCAGCCUCCUGGGACGCAACUGACGCUCAUACACGAAAGCGUGGGGAGCAAACAGGAUGAGAUACCCCUGUA
rnacentral:rRNA from 1 species